rnacentral:rRNA from 1 species
AGAUUGAACGCUGGCGGCAGGCCUAACACGUGCAAGUCGAGCGGUAGAGAGGUGCUUGCAUCUCUUGAGAGCGGCGGACGGGUGAGUAAUGCCUAGGAAUCUGCCUAGUGGUGGGGGGAUAACGUUCGGAAACGGACGCUAAUACCGCAUACGUCCCACGGGAGAAAGCGGGGGACCUUCGGGCCUCGCGCCAUUAGAUGAGCCUAGGUCGGAUUAGCUAGUUGGUGAGGUAAUGGCUCACCAAGGCGACGAUCCGUAACUGGUCUGAGAGGAUGAUCAGUCACACUGGAACUGAGACACGGUCCAGACUCCUACGGGAGGCAGCAGUGGGGAAUAUUGGACAUGGGCGAAAGCCUGAUCCAGCCAUGCCGCGUGUGUAGAAGAAGGUUCUCGGAUUGUAAAGCUAUUUAAGUGGAGGAAGGUUAGUAACUAAUACGUUGCUAACUUUGACGUUACCGUAAGUAAUAAGCAACCGGCUAACUACGAGCCAGCAGCCGUA